GAUGAACGCUAGCGGCAGGCUUAAUACAUGCAAGUCGAGGGGCAGCAUGAAUGUAGCAAUACAUUUGAUGGCGACCGGCAAACGGGUGCGGAACACGUACACAACCUUCCUAUAAGUGGGGAAUAGCCCAGAGAAAUUUGGAUUAAUACCCCGUAACAUAAUGAUGUGGCAUCACAUUAUUAUUAUAGCUACGGCGCUUAUUGAUGGGUGUGCGGCUGAUUAGAUAGUUGGCGGGGUAACGGCCCACCAAGUCUACGAUCAGUAGCUGAUGUGAGAGCAUGAUCAGCCACACGGGCACUGAGACACGGGCCCGACUCCUACGGGAGGCAGCAGUAAGGAAUAUUGGUCAAUGGACGCAAGUUUGAACCAGCCAUGCCGCGUGAAGGAUUAAGGUCCUCUGGAUUGUAAACUUCUUUUAUCUGGGACGAAAAAAGGCGAUUCUUCGUCACUUGACGGUACCAGAUGAAUAAGCACCGGCUAACUACGUGCCAGCAGCCGCGGUAAUAC
rnacentral:rRNA from 1 species